rnacentral:rRNA from 1 species
UGAGGAAUAUUGGUCAAUGGGCGAGAGCCUGAACCAGCCAAGUAGCGUGAAGGAUGAAGGUCCUAUGGAUUGUAAACUUCUUUUAUAGUAGAAUAAAGUGACCCACGUGUGGGUUUUUGUAUGUAUACUAUGAAUAAGGAUCGGCUAACUCCGUGCCAGCAGCCGCGGUAAUACGGAGGAUCCGAGCGUUAUCCGGAUUUAUUGGGUUUAAAGGGUGCGUAGGCGGAAUAAUAAGUCAGUUGUGAAAGUUUGCGGCUCAACCGUAAAAUUGCAGUUGAUACUGUUAUUCUUGAGUGUACAUAAGGUAGGCGGAAUUCGUGGUGUAGCGGUGAAAUGCUUAGAUAUCACGAAGAACUCCAAUUGCGAAGGCAGCUUACCGGGGUACAACUGACGCUGAGGC